CACUUUAGGCGGGAAGAAGAUUAGUAGUUUAAGAGAUGACUAAUUUGACGGUACCCGCAGAAUAAGCACCGGCUAACUCUGUGC
rnacentral:rRNA from 1 species